rnacentral:tRNA from 2 species
GGGUCGUUAGCUCAGUUGGUAGAGCAGUUGGCUUUUAACCAAUUGGUCGCAGGUUCGAGUCCUGCACGACCCACCA